rnacentral:rRNA from 1 species
AACGAACGCUGGCGGCAUGCCUAGCACAUGCAAGUCGAACGAGACCUUCGGGUCUAGUGGCGCACGGGUGCGUAACGCGUGGGAACCUGCCCUUAGGUUCGGAAUAACUCCCCGAAAGGGGUGCUAAUACCGGAUAAUGUCUUCGGACCAAAGAUUUAUCGCCUUUGGAUGGGCCCGCGUUGGAUUAGCUAGUUGGUAGGGUAAAAGCCUACCAAGGCGACGAUCCAUAGCUGGUCUGAGAGGAUGAUCAGCCACACUGGGACUGAGACCCGGCCCAAACUCCUACGGGAGGCAGCAGUGGGGAAUGUUGGACAAUGGGCGAAAGCCUGAUCCAGCAAUGCCGCGUGAGUGAUGAAGGCCUUAGGGUUGUAAAGCUCUUUUACCCGGGAUGAUAAUGACAGUACCGGGAGAAUAGGCUCCGGCUAACUCCGUG